UCGGUCCUACGGGGGGCAGCAGUGGGGAAUAUUGGGCAAUGGGCGCAAGCCUGACCCAGCAACGCCGCGUGAAGGAAGAAGGCUUUCGGGUUGUAAACUUCUUUUCUAAGGGACGAAGAAAGUGACGGUACCUUAGGAAUAAGCUCCGGCUAACUACGUGCCAGCAGCCGCGGUAAUACGUAGGGAGCGAGCGUUGACCGGAUUUACUGGGUGUAAAGGGUGCGUAGGCGGCUUGGCAAGUCAGUAGUGAAAUCCAUGGGCUUAACCCAUGAACUGCUAUUGAAACUGUCGAGCUUGAGUGAAGU
rnacentral:rRNA from 1 species